AAAAAAAAAGAAAAUCAGCCACUCAUAAUGCAUGCUCCAAGACUGCAUAAGGAAAGAUGAAACACAAGCAAGCAUUGGUCUUUUAAGUGCAAUACGAGAGCCAGGAGCUGAGGCAGCAUGGCCAAGAUCAUAGGCUCUUACUAUGACAACAUGUAAUUCAGAGGCCCCCUGUGAAGGGAGAUGUCAUAGGCAACUGCUGGAAAUUUAAUUGGUGUCUGGGACUUUAUGAGUGACAGCUCCUUAUUUGUGUUACCCAGAGAAGAGGAGGAAAAACACACUAACCAGCAUCCUUUCAAAAGCAAGUCUCAAAGACCCAACUGCAGCUUACAUGCAAACAGCAUUUUUUAGAGGUGACACCAGACAUUGACACCACACAUGUUAGAAACAAACCCAGGCUGGGCGUGGUGGCUCAUGCCCGUAAUCCCAGCACUUUGGGAGGCCAAGGUGGGUGGAUUACCUGGGUCAGGAGUUUGAGACCAGCCUGGCCAACAUGGUGAAACCCCGUCUCUACUAAAAAUACAAAAAUCAGACGGGUGUGGUGGUAGGCACCUGUAAUCCCAGCUAUUUGAGAGGCUGAGGCAUGAGAAUCGCUUGAACCCGGGAGGGGGAGGUUGCAGUGAGCCGAGAUAGCACCACUGCACUCCCGCCUGGGUGACACAGUGAGAUUCUAUCUCAAAAAAAAAAAAAAAAAAAAAAAGGAAAGAAAAGAAAAGAAAGAAACAAACUCAGGCUUAAGGCUGAGUGGCAAAAACAGCUGCUUGUAUUGCUAUUGUGCACUCAAGCCUCUUGCCUCAAUGAAACUUGAGUGUUUUCAUUUAGAACUUUUGAAUUACAGUUUCUGGCCUUAUGGCAUGUUUCAUCUGGGCCACUUCCAAAUGGACCCUCUGGCAUGGUUAUAUCCAACGAUAGAGAGAUGUUCAGUUUAAAAAUAAUUACCUAAAUCAUCUCUGCCACUUUGAUUUAGUUUGAGGGGUGGCUGAUUUUGUUUUCUUGCUCACUGUGAAAAUUUUACUCAUGGUAACAUUACUUUGACUUUUAAAUUGAACUUAUAGACAACAAAAUGCAAAUUUAGAGUAUAUAGUUUUGGGGUUUUGUUUCUGACACCUGUGUUGAAUCAAAUUUGACAAUGUAACUUUUCCUGAGUUGAACCAACCACAAAAAUUUAGUGUUUGCUUGAGAUAAGAGAACAGAAGAACUGAAUGUAUUGGGAAUCUUCUGAAUCUAGUUGGAGAACAUUGUACUGUCAGUAGUUUCCAUACUCACCCACUAGGAGGAAGACUCGAGCAUGUUAUGCAGCCAGAUCUGUGAAACAACUUCUUGUCUUCAUUCAGCUUGGCUUAAUGACUUCAUCUUGAGAUGUUUCCUAAUUUCUUAAAAAUAGUUUCUUACAGGGAACAAAAAGAAAAAUAGGUAAUUUAAACUACUUCAAACGUAAAAACAUCUGUGCAGCAAAUAAUAUAAUUAACACAGUGAAAAAGCAACCUAUGGAACAGGAGAAAAGAAUUGCAAAUCAGAUAUCUGAUAAGGGGUUACUCUCCAGGAUACCAAACAAACAAACAAACAAACAAACAAACAAACAAAAACUCUUGCAAUUUAACCACAGCAACAACAAAAUAUUCUGAUUUUAAAACGCACAAAGGCCUGGAAUAGACAUUUCUCCAAAGAUGACAUGAAAAUGGCCAACAAGCUUAGGGGAAGAUACUCAACAUCACCAGUCAUUAGGGAAAUCCAAAUCAAGACCACAAUGAGAUAUCAUCUCAUACCCAUAAGAAUGGCUACUGUUUAAACCAAACAAACAAACAACAGAAAAUAAGUGUUGGGAAGGAUGUGGAAAUAUUGGAACCCUUCUGCACAGUUGGUGGGAAUGUAAAACCCUUCUGCACUGUUGGUGGGAAUGGUGUAGUUGCUACUGUUUAAUGGAGGUUCCUCCAAAAAUUAAAAGUUGAAUUAUCAUAUGAUCCAGCAAUUCCAUAUCUGAGCGUGUGUUCAAAAGAACUGAAAUCAGAGUCCUGAAAAAGUAUCAGUGUUCCCAUGUUCAUAGCAGCAUUGUUCACAAUAGUCAGGAAGUGGAAACAACUCAAGUAUUCAUUGACAGAUGAAUGGAUAAAGAAAAUAUAAUGUAUACACACAAAGAAAUAUUAUUCAUACUUAAAAAGGAAGAAAAUUCUGACACAUGCUACUACAUGGAUGAACCUUGAGGACAUUAUGCUAAAUGAAAUGAACCAGUCACAAAAAGACAACUACAUCAUGAUUCAAUUUACAUAAGAUAUCUAGAGUCAUCAAAUUCAUAAAAACAGAAAAUAGAAUGGUAGUGUCCAGGGGUUGGGAAAAGAGAUUGGAUAAUUAUUGCUUUGGGUAAAGAAUUUCAGUUUUGUAACAUAAAAAAGUUGUAGAGAUUGGUUGCACAAUAAUAUGUCUACACUUAACACUACUGAACUGUUAAGAUGGAAAAUUUUACAUGUAUUUUACCACAAUUAAAACUGUUUAAAUUUAAAAAUAGUUUCAACCUAGCACAGUGGCUUAUCCCUGCUAUCUCAGUACUUUGUGAGGCUGAGGCAGGAGGAUUGCUUGAGGCCAAGAGUUCGAGACCAACCUGGACAAGAUGGCAAGAUCCCUGACUCUAUAAAAAUUUUAAAAAUUAGCAAAGUGUGGUGGCACAUGCCUGUGAUCCCAGCUACUCAGGAGGCUAUGGUGGGAGGAUCCCUUGAGCUUGGGAAGUCGAGGCUGCAGUGAGCUGUGAUCAUGCCACUAUACUCCAGCCUGGGUAACAGAGCAAGACCCUGUCUCAAAAAAAGAAAAAAAAAAUCGAACAUCAAGAGAUUUGCCCUUUUUUCCCCUUUCAAUCAAAAACUUCUAAGCCACGUGUAGAAUGCCAUGUGUAUCUACCUAAAACUAAAUUGGGCCACUUUAAUCAAACAUAAUGAUUGAACAGUUCAAAAAACUGCCGAAUUUUUGGAAAGAUUUUCAAGCCAGACAGAAAUGUUGGGAUUUGAUGUUACAUUCCUAAAGCUACCUUUAUCAUUCCUUCUUUUGAACAUCAUGCGUAGACUUCUUGUAAUGUUUAGCUUCAAAAUACCAAAGUGCCAUUUAUAAACUGUGGAUGUUAGCCCACAAGCCUUCAGUUAAAAUAAGCAUUAAAGUUUUAUGUUUUCUAAGCUUUUUUAAUUGAUGAUACAAAUGAAUGGGGGAGGGGUGGUGGUGAAGUGUGUGUUAUCUGUCUGAUGCUUAAAUAAAUAUUUCAGUUUCAGAAAGCUAACAUUUUUAAAGAGGCCUUGUAAAAUAACAUUAUUUGGUGUCAUCAACAAACACUGGUCAAUCAAUCUUGGGUAUCUUGGUAGCUACCAAUAAACAAACAAAAAAAGACAUCCUAUUUUUUGUCUUCAUACACAUAUACAAAAUUAACCCUGGGAAAUAAAAUAACAAGAAAUUCCACAUGCUUAUGUCAGAAUGUGUAAGUGUCAUAGCACAAAAUAUAAAUGCUAUCAUAUCUAACCCAGUACCUCUUUUCUAAGAGGUGGAUCCAGGAAGAGCUUACUGGAGUGUCCAGGACCCCAAACAUGUGGUGGAGCAAGAAUCUUGGGGCUAAAAAACAAGCUGGCAAGGCAAAGGUCACUAAGUGUGCAGAGAGUGCAGCAAUAGGAAGCCACUUUGGAAGCAAAUAGCAGCCUUCACAUAACACCAAACCUGCUAGCACCUUGAUCUUGGACUUCCCAGCCUCCAGAAGUGUGAGAAAAAAAUAUAUUGUUUAUAAUUAUAUAUGGUAUUCUGUAAUAGCAGCACAAAUGGACUAAGAUAUGUAGAUUAUAUAUGACAGAUAGAUAGAUAGAUAGAUAGAUAGAUAGAUAGAUAGAUAGAUAGAGUUCUUUGGCAUAUCCUAUUGUUUGAAGAACCCCAAUUAAUACAGUUCUUUACCUGUGCAGGAAAUCAAUGGUCAGGAAGCAGAAACCUGAGCUGCAGAGACAAUAGUGGCAACAUCUUAUGUCAUACUCUCCCUGGGAGAGAUAAUGCUGCUUUUUCUCCCUGAUGAUUAUUUUUGCUUGGUAAGGAUUGAGCAGAAAAAUUAUUUCUCAAUGUUGCUUGAAUCCAGUGAUCCCACAGAACUGGAAUCAUCUCAGUUUCCUUCUUUCCAUCAUUGCCAUUGCCCUUUAAAUAUUGAGGGAGUGUUCUAUCUGGUUAUCGAUGAUGUGUCCUGCUGCAUAAUUCAUUCUGGAGACUGGUGACACUGUGGCCACUUCCCUUCUCGAGAUACCUAAGCCUGGAGAAGUGUAAACAUACAUGUGAGGACUCCCCAUCAGACUUUGCAAAUCCUUUCCCAAGCGAGACUCAUAAAUAAACAUAAGCAGUAGCCAAAAUGUGGUUAGCCAGCAGGGAAGUGCUCACGAAUAAUAGCUUUAUUGUGGAGUGCAGCAGACCAUAAACACAGAAUGCCUGUGGGCAGCCUAAUGAAACAUGAAUUGUAAGAUGGAGUAAAUGCAUUUCCUUCAUCUACCCUUACUUCUAAGAUAGAUUAAAUAGCUUUUCUUAAAACAAAAACUAUAUAUUUUCUUAUUUAGGAAACUCAGUUUCAGUUCCCUAGGUGGAUAAUAAUUAAAACCAAUAUCCAUAAAGGAGAUGCCACAGUAGAUUUGGACAGUUAAAAACAGAAUAGCUAGUUUGGAGCAUAAUCUUUGGGUUUUUGUCUCUUCAAAUAUGUUUUCUGUCGACAAAGGUGAAUAGCUUCCAGUUUAUUCACUGAAACCACUUCUUUACAUCUCAUUUGCCCUUAUUUUCUCUUAUUUUUGUGGGAAUUAUCACACCCAGACCUUCAAAAUUUCUCACUUGACUUCUCAGUCAUUUCUGUGGAGUUUUGCAGGUAUUUCUUGGUACCUAUAUUAUUAGCCAGGACACUAGAAAGUAUCAAGGGAUCCAGACAUCUCUCUACAUACCUUGUAGAUAAACAUCAUUCAUAUCACCUAGAUAUUUCCCUCCUAAAGGAUCAUGGCGCACAGGAGGUAAAAUAUUUUGUGCAAACAUCGUGCUAAGAAGAAUAGUGAUAAAUUUUGGGAGAAAUAUUUCCUGGCUUCUUUAAUGCAUUUUGCAUGGUGGGAUUCAAAAUAUUGUACUACAGAAUUCUGUGAGCAAAGCAAAGUCCUCUGGAAUGUCAUGAAAUUUAUUUCUGCCAAUAUAUAGGUAAUGUUAGUUUUUAUGGAAAUGGUAUAACUAGGCUUGCAGACAGUAAUUUCUAUGUCCAUCUUUAUAUUAAGAGAAAAUUAUUAUUUAAAGGUAGAUUCCAAUCACAGGGUAUCUUGUAAGCAUACCUAUGGGCAUGUUCUAUCAGAAAUAACCCUAAUAAACACAUUAGUUUAUUCUACAAAGUCUUUUCAUGUAUGAAGAGGCAGAAGACAAGGCAUAAAGUACUGUAAUUUAAAAGCAUCUCUAUAAUUACCUGAGAAGUUCUUCUUCCCUACCCGUCUUUUCCCUGCCAUCCUUUCCUAUUUCUUUUCUGCUUAGCUUCAGAGGUUUUUGCUUAAGACAAUAUAAUGCAAAAGAUAUAACUCUCACCCCGUUGACCUCUUUCUACCUUCUAUUUACUACCUCUAUUUCUUUUCUAGAGAUAACUACUUUUGUGAGGUUAGUGUACAAUUUCCCCUCCUCUUUUUAUAGUUUCAGUUACAGGACAGUGCAUUAUUAUUUUAAUUUAAAUUUUCAUAAGUACUAAUCAGGCUCAUUCAUUCCCACAAACCUGUCUGUAUCCUCUGGCCACUUUUAGAUUGAGUUGUUUGUCUUUUAUAUUGACUUUUAGAAAUUCUUUACAUAUUUUAGGUACAAACAUUUAGUCACUUGUAUAUGUUACAAAUAUAAACAUUCCCAGUCCGUGGUUUCUUACUUGUUUGUUACUUGCUGGUUUCCUUUUAAUGAAGAUGGUUUUAAUUUGUAUGCAGUCACAUUUACUUUAUUUAGGGAGGAAAUCUAUGCAUUCCUAUUCCAGGCACUAACUUAGUAUUCCAUGUAGUGAAGAGGAAAAAAAGAUGGAGGCUCAAAAAUUUGAUAUGCAUCUUUUAAUUUCUUCUUCUGUUUCCUCCCUGUGUGUCUCUUAUAACUAUCAUGUACCUUGUUUCAUUGAUUUACAAGUUUCUCAGGGUUAAAUCAUUUUCCUCCCCGUUGCCCUAAUCACUCUCUACAAGUAUCUAAGAAAAAGGAUUCACCCACUUUCCACGCUCAAUACCAAUACUCUUCUAUAUGUGUUUCUGUGUUCAGAAUUUUUGUGAUUUAUUUAAAUACACCCUCCACUCUUCUCUUUAUCAUUUUAUUAUCUUAAUAUCAUUGGGUGUAGGAAGAAAUAAAUAAAUGUGUGUGAUCCAUUUAUGCUUUUUAAUGUAAAGACCACACAACUGUUGCCAACUCAAGGGAUUUGUCUAAUGCCCUCCAGAGAGCUAGUAGGGAGAUGUCCAUGGUUCUGAUUUUAAGAACAACUCUUAGAUGCUGUGAUUGACUAAUAAUGUAGUCUGGCUUUGUAUCCCCACCCAAAUCUCACCUUGAAUUGCAAUCUCCAUGAUCCAAAUGUGUCAAGGGCAGGGCCAGGUGGAAGUAACGGAAUCUUGGGGGCGGUCUCCCCCAUGCUGUUCUCAUGAUAAUGAGUGAGUCUCAUGAGAUCUGAUGGUUUUAUAAGCAUCUGGAGUUUCCCCUGCUUGGAUUCACUCUGUUCUGCUGCCCUGUGAAGAAGGUGACUGCUUAUCCUUUGUCUUCUGCCAUGACUGUAAGUUUCCUGAGGUCUCCAAAGCAAUACAGAACUGUGAGUCAAUUAAACCUCUUUCCUUUAUAAAUUACCCAGUCUCAGGAAGUUCUUUAUAAAAGAGAAUGGACUAAUACAACUAACAAGUAAAAAUGUCCAUAAAAAUAUAAAAUGAGAAACUACUGCUUAGUGAUAUGGAAAGUAAACAUAUUACAAUGUGUUUUCUAUUUCUGCAUGCAUCUUUACAUGUGGCUAUAUGUUAAAUAACCACAUAUGUUUAUGACUGUACAACACUGAAUUUAAUAUAUUAUUAUUUGCAUAACCACUCCCCUAUUGUUGGACCAGUUUAAAAUUAGCCUAUUCUUUAUUUUGGAGAUUCUAGAAGUGUGUGUUUGAGCAACUUACAUUAUAAUUAUCUUACAUUAUUUUGAAAAAUCAGAUUCCUUGACACCACCCAAGCCUUGCCAGAAAAGAAGCAAUGAUAAAAUCAACACUUGAACUACCUCCUUAGUUGAUUUGCAUAUGCCUCAAAUUUUUUAUAUUAUGUCUUAAUUCUGUGCUUGCUAUUUUGAUUAUGCUAGUCCAGCACCAUAAUAGGGAAGUCUGUAGAAAGAAAUUGGUGAUAAAACACUGAGAAUAGAAGCAGAGAGGCAAUUGGAGUGGGUAAAUUUAAGUAUAUUCCUCUCCUUGACUACUCUACUGACUUCUAGUUCCAAAUUUUUCAUUUAAUGAGAAUACUAAUACAUGUUCCACUAUCACUGCAAACUCAAAAUGUUUGAAACAGAUAAUGAAUUUUCAGUUAUGACAGUUAUAUAAACAGUAAAUUAAGCCCUCUGGGGACACAAAGUGUGGUUUGUGGAUGCUGGGAUGGGAAGACAGGAGUGGCUUCUCUUAGAAGAUGAAAUUUGAACAAGCAACAAUAAUUAUGAAGCACCAAAAUGUGUUCCACAAAAGGAGAUAAUAUGAGAAAGAGCCUGACAAUGAGGGAAUGGGAGAUAGGAGAGGGUAAGCCAAGAACGAUACAAAGGCUGGUCAUAUGAAAUAAGAAAAUAUGUGUUUGAAAUUAAAGUGUUUCCAUUGUUAUGGGUCUCUUUAAUAGGAGAAUGAUACAUUGACAUUCUAAGAAAUAACAUGGAGAGACUGCAGAUUUCUGAACUGGUAAAUAAUAUCUGUUGUGUGAUCCAGAUUAUUCUGACUGAAUGAAGCCCUAUUUUAACCAUGGCAAAAUCCAGGUGUAAAAUGAUGAACGGUUGGAUGGUGGUUUUGUGUUGCUAGAUGAAGAAAUAGAGAAUAGGCAAAGAGACAUGUGGAGCUCUUGCUGGGAUUGGCAACCCAAUCCAGAAAACUGCUACAAUGUGUCUGCUAAAUGAGCAACUUCCUCAGCUAAACUGUAUUACUAAAGUGACACAAGUAUAAAAUAAUUACCUAACAUGUCCAAAUUCCUUCUCAUUCAAGCCUGACACAGCUGUUACUGUAUCACUCACAGCUUGCUCUUGCCGACAGCUUAACCACCUUGAAAACCCAUGCCCCUUCCAUUCUUAGGCAUCUGUUAGUAGGCAAUUUAAGCCAUCAUUCUAUGUCUGCAUCCUCUGGGGCCAUUUCAUUAACUAUGAGCAAUGUUGCUAGUCAGAGAGAGGUGUAAAUUAAAGCAGCCAAAAUUGAAUCUAGUAAAUUUGAUUACUUGAUAAUCAUGCUCAUGCAGAUAUUGAGACAGAGUUUGAGACUAUUGAAUGGAAUUAGGUUUGAGAUUUAACUUACCCUUAUUCCUUUUGUUUAUAAUCAGCAUAAAUUACAGAGUUGAGCUUGCACUGAAAACAAAUUGUACUUCUCACCAUACGUAUCACAUUCAUUUUUGCCAGAAAAAUGGUGAUAUGUUUCUGAGAAUAUAAAACCUAGUGAGAAUUUGUCUUGUACUAUUUGUAGCUUUCUAAUUGUUCACAUUUUUCUUAUUUUUUUUUAAACAGAGACAGGGUCUUGCUAUGUUCCCCAGGCUGGUCUCAGACUCCUGGGCUCAAGCAAUCCUUCUGCCUCAGUCUCCCAAAAUGCUAGAAUUGCAGAUAUGAGCCACUGCUCCUGGGCAUGAAAUCGCUUUUUCUUUACUUUCAGUACUUUAGCUUGCAUAUUGGUCAGGAGAGAUUUAAAAAAAAAAAAAGAAUGAUAAAACAGUUAAUUAGAAGAAUGAGAGAGAAGUUCUACUUCAACCUCAUUGCACUCCCAGUAGUGAAUACUACUUAGAGAGGCCUAAGGAGGUGAAGCAAGAAGAAUUUUUGAAGAAUCAGAUGUCUUCUCAAUCUGUGACCUAUUCAUCUUGCCUUUAUGGGGAGAAGAAGCAUGUUUUGCUAGUAUUCUAAAAUCAUGGACUGCAAAUCACUUACAGCAUGGAUCAUAACAUCCAUCUCUCUAACAGCAGAAAAUAUAUUUUGAAUUGUCAUAUGUUGUUAUUGACCAUUUAUUGAAUACUACAUGCAUUAAUCUGCGAAAGCACACAGAAAUGAGAUAGACAAAGAUGUUUCAGCAAACAGCUUGGAACUGGCUUUGGCCUUCUGAGAUUAAAAUCAGCUACAGGUUUUGUUCCUGUCUUAUGAGAGUGAUAGAUAAAAGAACAAAUCCCUACUGUAAAAAGUGCCUUGUGUUAUUUUUAUGUAAAAAUGUUGGACAUGUAAGGCUAACAACAAUUUUGUAAUGCCUACCUGUCUUAAGCCAGGUCCCAAAAAGCAAAAUUUAAUAAGAAGACACACAUGAAAACAAUUGAUUAAUAAAGUAGCCAGGUGUAUUAGUCUGUUUUUAUGAUGCUGUUAAAGACAUACUUGAGACUGGGCAAUUUAUAAAGAAAAAGAGGUUUUACGGACGCACAGUUCCACGUGGCUGGGGAGGCCUCACAAUCAUGGUGGAAGGUGAAAGGCAUGUCUUAUAUGGCAGCAGGCAAAGAGAGAAAUGAGAACCAAGUAAAAGGGGUUUCCCCUUAUAAAGCCAUCAGGUCUCAUGAGACUUAUUCACUAUGACAAGAACAGUAUGGGGGAAACUGCCCCCAUGAUUCAAUUACCUCCCACUGGGUCCCUCCCCAAACACAUGGGAACUAUGGAAGCUAUAAUUCAAAAUGAGAUUUGGGUGGGGACACAGCCAAAUCAUAUCACCAAGAAAGAUAAAUUCUCAAUUUGAUAAGAAAAAAAAGCUCUGGAAAAUCUACAGCAAAAAUUAUACUUAAUCAUGAAAUAUUAUAAUUUCUUUCAAAGAUUGGGAAUAAAAGAAGGAUAUUGACUCUAACCACUUAUAGCCAACAUUGUAUUGAAGUUGCUAGGACAAGAAAAAGAAAUACAAGGCAUAAGAACAGAAAGAAAGAAGUUAAACUAUUUAUAUUUGAAGAUAACAUAUUUUUUUCCAUGAAAAAUCGUAAAGAACUUAUCAAACACACACUACAACACUUAAUUUAGCAAGACCUUAAGACAUAAAAUCAACAUAUAAAAAUCACUUGUAUUUCUAUGUCAGUAGCAAGAAACCAGAAAAUGACAUUUGGGAACCAAACCGUUUGCACUAUUAUCAUCAAUAAAAAUAGUUAGGUGUCUACAAUGAAAAUGACAAGGCAUUCCUGAGAGAAAUGAACAGAGACAUUAAUAGGGACUUGAAAACAAAAGCAAUAGCCCUCUGGCCCUUGAAAGCUUUGGGCAACAACUCUCUCCUCCAAUACCCUAACUGUGGUCCUUAGCAGACAGUCCUUCUAAAGAAGAAUGCAAGUGAGAGUGUUCGGAAAGAAACACAUGAAGUUGGGGGGUAGGCACUCAGAACCAAUUGUCUGAGUAGCUGGCAGAGCAGGACUGUCAUUUCCUCAGCUGGUGAAAACCAGUAACACGUUUCAAGUAGGGAGAUGAAGAGCUUGAUAUGGAGCUUGGUAAGUGAGAGCUGCCUACUAGACCCUCAAGUGAAAAUGCUGAAAAAGAAGUUAGAUUUAUGAGUCUGGGCUUCAGGACUCAUUAUGUACCUUCAGGGCUGGAGAUUUAAUUUGGCUUUUAACAUCAUCCAGUUAACAUUUUAAUUUGAGAUUAUGUAAGAUAAUCAAGGCAGUGAAUACAGAAGAAGAAGAAGAAACUGCCCAAGAAAUAAAUACUGAGGCAUACUCCAAGAUUUAGAAUUGGGAGAGAGGAGAAAAAAGUGAAGGAGACUGAUAAAAAUUGACCACAAAAGUAGGGAGAAAAUCACCAGAGUGUGUUCUCUUAGAAUAUAAAUUAAAAAUAACUAUAUUAUGUAAGUUGAAGGACAUCAAUUGUCUCAAAUAAUGUUAAUAGAGCAGACAAACUGAAGAUUAAGAAUUGGCCAUUAGAUUUAACAAUAUGAAGAUUAUCAGCGACUUUGGCAAGGGAUGUUUUGUGGGAUUGUUGGUGGCAAAGGUUUUAGUAGAGCACAUUCAAGAGCAAAUAGGCAUUUAAAAGAUAAAUUAUACAAAUGUUAAUGCUUUAUAUUUUCAUCAUGUAGCUACCAUGUUUCUAGUAAUGAUAAAAAGUAUUCAUUGGUAUAUUAAGCUUACUGGAAGACUUUUUUUGAGACAAAAUCUCUCUCUAUAACUCACUGCAGCCUCGACCUCCCAGGGUCAAGUGAUCCUCCCACCUCAGCCUCCUGAGUACCUGGGACAAAAGGCACUUGUCACCACUCCUGGCUAAUUUUUUUUUUAUUUUUU
rnacentral:lncRNA from 10 species